rnacentral:tRNA from 1 species
GGUUAUGGCUCAGUGGUAGAGUGCUUGCCUCGAAUGUGCAAGGCCCUGGGUUCGAUCCUCAGCACCA